AUAGAGUUGAUAGAAGGCAAAUGAAAGUAUGAUGGUGUUCCAGUUCACAAACUUGGUGGCUUUAGACAACAGGCACGGAUUCCCUCACAGCUCCCCAGGCCGUGAGUCCCAGUCAAGGUGUGACCAGCCUCCUUCACUCGACAGGUGCUCAGAGGCUCCCUGGAAUUUCAGAAGAGGGCUGGCAACUCUAUUAGGAGUUUCAAGACAAGAGGGAGCCAGAGGUUAAUACGAAGGAUGUAAAGCCAUGGCAAUUGCAACAACAACAAAAAUAAACAAAUGGGAUUUCAUUAAACUGAAAAGCUUCUGUACAGCUAAGGAGACAAUAACCAAAGCAAAGAGACAACCUACACAAUGGGAAAGGAUAUUUGCAUAUUUUGAAUCAGACAAAAGCUUGAUAACUGGAAUCUAUAGAGAACUCAAAUUCAUCCACGUGAAAAAAGCCAACAAUUCCAUAUAUCAAUGGGCAAGAGACAUGAAUAGAACUUUCUCUAAAGAAGACAGAUGAAUGGCUAACAAACACAUGAAAAAAUGUUCAUCAUCCCUAUCUUUUAGAGAAAUGCAAAUCAAAACCACCCUGAGAUACCAUCUAACCCCAGUGAGAAUGGCCCACAUCACAAAAUCUCAAAACUGCAGAUGCUGGCGUGGAUGUGGAGAGAA